rnacentral:rRNA from 1 species
GAUGAACGCUGGCGGCGUGCCUAAUACAUGCAAGUCGAGCGAACAGAUGAGGAGCUUGCUCCUCUGACGUUAGCGGCGGACGGGUGAGUAACACGUGGAUAACCUACCUAUAAGACUGGGAUAACUUCGGGAAACCGGAGCUAAUACCGGAUAAUAUAUUGAACCGUAUGGUUCAAUAGUGAAAGACGGUUUUGCUGUCACUUAUAGAUGGAUCCGCGCCGCAUUAGCUAGUUGGUAAGGUAACGGCUUACCAAGGCAACGAUGCGUAGCCGACCUGAGAGGGUGAUCGGCCACACUGGAACUGAGACACGGUCCAGACUCCUACGGGAGGCAGCAGUAGGGAAUCUUCCGCAAUGGGCGAAAGCCUGACGGAGCAACGCCGCGUGAGUGAUGAAGGUCUUCGGAUCGUAAAACUCUGUUAUUAGGGAAGAACAAAUGUGUAAGUAACUAUGCACGUCUUGACGGUACCUAAUCAGAAAGCCACGGCUAACUACGUG